AGAGUUUGAUCAUGGCUCAGGAUGAACGCUAGCGGCAGGCUUAAUACAUGCAAGUCGAGGGGCAACAGGGGUAGCAAUACCUGCUGGCGACCGGCAAACGGGUGCGCAACACGUACAGAACCUUCCUUUAAGCGGGGGAUAGCCCGGAGAAAUCCGGAUUAAUACCCCAUAGUAUUAUUGAUUGGCAUCAAUUGGUAAUUAAAGAUUUAUCACUUAAAGAUGGCUGUGCGUCUGAUUAGGUAGUUGGUUGAGGUAACGGCUCACCAAGCCAACGAUCAGUAACUGGUGUGAGAGCACGACCAGUCACACGGGCACUGAGACACGGGCCCGACUCCUACGGGAGGCAGCAGUAAGGAAUAUUGGUCAAUGGACGCAAGUCUGAACCAGCCAUGCCGCGUGAAGGAUGAAGGUCCUCUGGAUUGUAAACUUCUUUUAUAUGGGAAGAAAUGCCUGCUUUAUAGCGGGUUUGACGGUACCAUAGGAAUAAGCACCGGCUAACUCCGUGCCAGCAGCCGCGGUAAUACGGAGGGUGCGAGCGUUAUCCGGAUUCACUGGGUUUAAAGGGUGCGUAGGUGGGUUUGUAAGUCAGUGGUGAAAUCUCCGUGCUUAACAUGGAAACUGCCAUUGAUACUACAGGUCUUGAAUUUUCCGGAGGUUAGCGGAAUAUGUCUGUAGCGGUGAAAUGCUUAGAUAUGACAUAGAACACCAAUUGCGAAGGCAGCUAACUACGGGGAUAUUGACACUGAGGCACGAAAGCGUGGGGAUCAAACAGGAUUAGAUACCCUAGUAGUCC
rnacentral:rRNA from 1 species